rnacentral:rRNA from 1 species
UACGUAGGGGGCAAGCGUUGUCCGGAAUCAUUGGGCGUAAAGAGCGUGUAGGCGGCCCGGUCAGUCCGCCGUGAAAGUCCAGGGCUCAACCCUGGAAUGCCGGUGGAUACUGCCGGGCUGGAGUCCGGAAGAGGCGAGUGGAAUUCCUGGUGUAGCGGUGAAAUGCGCAGAUAUCAGGAGGAACACCGAUGGCGAAGGCAGCUCGCUGGGACGGUACUGACGCUGAGACGCGAAAGCGUGGGGAGCAAACAGG